UACAGAGGUGGCAAGCGUUGUUCGGAAUUACUGGGCGUAAAGGGCGCGUAGGCGGCCUUCUAAGUCAGACGUGAAAUCCCCCGGCUUAACCUGGGAACUGCGUCUGAUACUGGGAGGCUAGAGUAUGGGAGAGGGAUGUAGAAUUCCAGGUGUAGCGGUGAAAUGCGUAGAUAUCUGGAGGAAUACCGGUGGCGAAGGCGGCAUCCUGGACCAUUACUGACGCUGAGGCGCGAAAGCGUGGGGAGCAAACAGG
rnacentral:rRNA from 1 species